CCUACGGGAGGCAGCAGUGAGGAAUAUUGCACAAUGGGCGAGAGCCUGAACCAGCAAAGCCGCGUGAGCGAUGAAGGCCUUCGGGUCGUAAAGCUCUGUCCUCAGGGACGAUAAUGACGGUACUUGAGGAGGAAGCCACGGCUAACUACGUGCCAGCAGCCGCGGUAAUACGUAGGUGGCUAGCGUUAUCCGGAUUUACUGGGCGUAAAGGGUGCGUAGGUGGUUUCUUAAGUCAGAGGUGAAAGGCUAGGGCUCAACCGGAGUAAGCCUUUUAAACUGGGAAUCUUGAGUGCAGGAGAGGAGAGUGGAAUUCCUAGUGUAGCGGUGAAAUGCGUAGAGAUUAGGAGGAACAACAGUGGCGAAGGCGAUUCUCUGGACUGUAACUGACACUGAGGCACGAAAGCGUGGGGAGCAAACAGGAUUAGAUACCCCAGUAGUC
rnacentral:rRNA from 1 species